rnacentral:antisense_RNA from 1 species
GGUAAUUUGAGCGGUGACGGGUCGGUCCUCGCGCGCCUCCCUGGGUCCCUGCACCUAGUUGGAGGGGACUGAGCGACAACGGGGCGCUACUCAGGCAACCUGGGGGACUCCCCUAAGGGCUGUCAGGCUUCAGCUGGGAGCCGAUAAAACACCCCAGGGGGGAGGGGAGGUCGGCCAAUUCUAAUACCGACGUGUCCUUGGCCCCCGGCGCUCGGAGCAGCGUCUAAAAGGGCUCACUCUGAUCAUCAGCUGCACGUUAAGCCGCAAACCGGCGUCGCUUCGGCGUUCCGGAACCUAGGCCCGGGGGCUGCGGGGAUUGCCUCUGCGUGCAACUCCGGAAAGUUUCAAGGGGUCCCCCGACUGCACAGGCACCCUCACCUUUCCUGCCUGCGAACGCUGGCGACCGCCCGACCCUGCCCUCUUUCUCCGCAGGUCCGGAAAUCGGCUUCGAUAUGGAACUACUCCGCUCUAGCCUAGAAAGGAGACCCGCGCACUCCUCUCGCAGCUAAUUUCGGAUCAUUAAUUUAAUCGGAAAUGAGGUAACCAGUGUAGGAGACAGAGAAAGCAACCGGAGCAUCAAAUGGCAGUUCUCGAGAAUCGACGAGGAACUUAAAUCUGGACUCACGGUUUCAGUGCGGUCUCCGACUCCCACCACCCCGCCCUUCCGCCUGUCCCGCCGCCAGGUGUGACCUCCCCACGCG